GUUACAGCAAAAUCUGUAACCGGGAUUGGUCUCCCGAAAUAUUACUCGGCGCAUAGACGCCAGCUCACUAUUAGUGCUGGUUUUUU
rnacentral:sRNA from 1 species